rnacentral:rRNA from 1 species
UACCAGCACCCCGAGUGGUCGGGACGAUUAUUGGGCCUAAAGCAUCCGUAGCCGGUUCUACAAGUCUUCCGUUAAAUCCACCUGCUUAACAGAUGGGCUGCGGAGGAUACUAUAGAGCUAGGAGGCGGGAGAGGCAAGCGGUACUUAGUGGGUAGGGGUAAAAUCCGUUGAUCCAUUGAAGACCACCAGUGGCGAAGGCGGCUUGCCAGAACGCACUCGACGGUGAGGGAUGAAAGCUGGGGGAGCAAACAGG